rnacentral:rRNA from 1 species
GUAGGGGGCAAGCGUUAUCCGGAUUUACUGGGUGUAAAGGGAGCGUAGACGGCAUGGCAAGCCAGAUGUGAAAGCCCGGGGCUCAACCCCGGGACUGCAUUUGGAACUGUCAGGCUAGAGUGUCGGAGAGGAAAGCGGAAUUCCUAGUGUAGCGGUGAAAUGCGUAGAUAUUAGGAGGAACACCAGUGGCGAAGGCGGCUUUCUGGACGAUGACUGACGUUGAGGCUCGAAAGCGUGGGGAGCAAACAGGAUUAGAUACCCUGGUAGUCCACGCCGUAAACGAUGACUACUAGGUGUCGGGGAGCAAAGCUCUUCGGUGCCGCAGCAAACGCAAUAAGUAGUCCACCUGGGGAGU